GAAAUAUCACUGAUAUUAUCGGCAUUUUAUUCCUUGGUUAUACUUAAUGAAAGUAUGAAUAAACUUUUAAAGUGUUAGUCAAUAUAUUGUUUUGAUGGGAUACACAUUCUACGAAACUAGUUUCCAACCGUCAAACAUGUUUGUAUAUAUUUCGAGAUUGUAAAUGCCAAAAAUUGCAAAAAUACAAGCAUUCAGAGAUCAAGUAACGGGACAAAACUUUUCAACGGUUAUCGACAAAAAAUCACUAUUUAACGGUUAUUUUAACUUCGAUUUUGAUGAUUUUUUUUUACAGCUACACUCCUAGACACUAUAUGAAUACAAUGAAUGAGCUUAAUCUUCAAUUUAA
rnacentral:lncRNA from 1 species